rnacentral:rRNA from 1 species
UUGAAAGGCUUCGCGUCCUAUCUGAUCUGUCCCCACCUGCCCAACAAAUAAUAGCAUGGGGCUAGAAUCUUGAUGCGCUGUAUGAAUACCAAUCGCUGCGUUGGUUGCCCCCGGUCCUCUUGUGACAAAACAAAUGCCUGGCGCGCCUGUCAGCUUGCCAUAGGCGCUCGCCACAAAGGCAGCGCCCCCCUCAUUACGACAAAGGGUGAAAUCAAACCCACCAUCUGCCAUGGCAUCAAGUGCGGCGAGGUAGGAUUCACCUGGCACGCCGAAACCGGGCCGCGCGCCCAAAGCCAUCAAAGAC